rnacentral:tRNA from 1 species
GCGGAGGCUGUAGCUCAGCAGGAGGAACAUCUGCUUUGCAUGCAGAAGAUCCUGGUUUGAUCCCCAGCAGCUGCC